rnacentral:rRNA from 1 species
UAGGGAAUAUUAGAAAUGGACGAAAGUCUGAUCUAGCAACACCGCGUGUGCGAAGAAGGCCUUCGGGUUGUAAAGCACUUUUUGAGAGGAUGAGGAAGGACGGUACUCUCAGAAUAAGUCUCGGCUAACUACGUGCCAGCAGCCGCGGUAACACGUAGGAGGCAAACGUUAUCCGGAUUUACUGGGCGUAAAGCGCGUGUAGGUGGUUCUGUAAGUAGGGCGUGAAAGCUCCUGGCUCAACUGGGAGAGGUCGUUCAAUACUUCCGGACUUGAGAGUGGGAGAGGGAGGUGGAAUUCCGGGUGUAGUGGUGAAAUGCGUAGAUAUCCGGAGGAACACCAGUGGCGAAAGCGGCCUCCUGGCCCAUUUCUGACGCUCAGACGCGAAAGCUAGGGUAGCAAACG